rnacentral:rRNA from 1 species
GAUGAACGCUGGCGGCGUGCUUAACACAUGCAAGUCGAACGAUGAAGCCCAGCUUGCUGGGUGGAUUAGUGGCGAACGGGUGAGUAACACGUGAGUAACCUGCCCUUAACUCUGGGAUAAGCCUGGUAAACUGGGUCUAAUACCGGAUAGGAGCGUCCACCGCAUGGUGGGUGUUGGAAAGAUUUAUCGGUUUUGGAUGGACUCGCGGCCUAUCAGCUUGUUGGUGAGGUAAUGGCUCACCAAGGCGACGACGGGUAGCCGGCCUGAGAGGGUGACCGGCCACAAUGGGACUGAGACACGGCCCAGACUCCUACGGGAGGCAGCAGUGGGGAAUAUUGCACAAUGGGCGCAAGCCUGAUGCAGCGACGCCGCGUGAGGGAUGACGGCCUUCGGGUUGUAAACCUCUUUCAGUAGGGAAGAAGCGAAAGUGGCGGUACCUGCAGAAGAAGCACCGGCUAACUACGUG